rnacentral:lncRNA from 1 species
GGCAAAAUCUUUUUCCCUUGAAGACUGGAAAUAUUAUCCAUGUUGUCCUCCUGAAUAUUUUCAAUGGCUUGUGCCCUGCCAGCUCUAGCUUUUCAAGGGUCUUCACUCAUCAUCAACAGGUCUGGAAAAAUGAAUGGCUUUCUAGGAGGCAUACUGUUCAACUCACCUUUACAACUUUCAAUCGCUGUGACUGAAAUAGAGUCAUGAAAGACAAGAUGUUGAUAAUAUUUAUAAGAGAAAGAAGA